CUACUGGGAAGAAGAGGAUGCCCCCCAAAUAUCCAAGAUGAUGAAGGCCCGGUCAUCACAGGAACCAACUGAGUGCUAUGCACAUCACACUGUCCUAGAUUGAUGAUCUGAAAACCAGGCCAGCCCUGAUGGUUUAUGCAAACAAGAUCACAGAUGGUGGGCCCAAAGAAAGUUAGUGAUGAAGUGAUGACUCAGGAUGGAACUGGCCAGGCCACAAAAAAAGCUAGAGAUUGUGAUCAACUUCAUGGCCAACGAUUCAACCAAACAUGUCUACAUAAGAAAAACCCAGUAAAAAUUCUAGACAAGACACCAAAGUUCAGAAUGGAGCAACCCACAAGCUGAGGAGGGGCCAGCAUGUGAAGCCUGGACCGAUUUCUC